rnacentral:tRNA from 2 species
UCUAAUAUGGCAGAUAAAUGCAUUGGAUUUAAACCCCAUAAAUAAAGAUUUUAAAUCUUUUUUUAGAA